rnacentral:rRNA from 1 species
UACGGGGGGUGUAAGCGUUGUUCGGAAUUACUGGGCGUAAAGGGCUCGUAGGCGGCCAACUAAGUCAGACGUGAAAUCCCUCAGCUUAACUGGGGAACUGCGUCUGAUACUGGAUGGCUUGGAUUCGGGAGAGGAAUGCGGAAUUCCAGGUGUAGCGGUGAAAUGCGUAGAUAUCUGGAGGAACACCGGUGGCGAAGGCGGCAUUCUGGACCGACAUUGACGCUGAGGAGCGAAAGCCAGGGGAGCAAACGGG